GUGGAUUAGUUGGUAAAGCGCUCGUCUAGCAUACAAGAGUCCUGGGUUCGAAUCCCAGC
rnacentral:tRNA from 1 species